ACAUCGCCGCGUAAUCAUGUGAAACUAUCUCUCUAAUCUAAGGAGCCCAAAAAUCACUCAAAAUUUGUUUAUGUGCAGUCUCUACUAGAAAAAAAAACCGAUCUUGAUGCAC
ensembl:snoRNA F55F1.11 ncRNA